rnacentral:lncRNA from 1 species
GCUGAAUCACAUAAGGUGACGUAACAAUUAAUUCUAGGAUAACUGAAUUGUGCUUUUUCAUGCCUCUCUUAUUCUUCUCAGUUUUUAAAUUUUUCAUAUCUUUGUUUCUAGUUGAGGGAAUCCUUUAUAUCUUGGUUAGUUUAAAAUAUCUUCUGCAACUAUGUAAAGGCAGAGAUUUUCAUUGUUAACAAAGAAGUGAAAAAGAGCAAGAGUGUGUGUACCUUAGAGGUAACCACGAGAAAAAUAGCUAGAAGAAGAAUGGAAUUGGAAGCCAUUUAUGAGCAGAGACCAGAAAUGUGGGAAGAAGAGUGUAGAGCUUGUUGGACAGUGUUAAGAAAGAAUUGCUUCAAGAUGCAAGAAGAGGUUAAUU